rnacentral:rRNA from 1 species
UACAGAGGAGGCAAGCGUUGUUCGGAAUUACUGGGCGUAAAGCGCACGUAGGCGGCGAUUCAAGUCAGAGGUGAAAGCCCGGGGCUCAACCCCGGAACUGCCUUUGAAACUAGAUUGCUAGAAUCUUGGAGAGGUCAGUGGAAUUCCGAGUGUAGAGGUGAAAUUCGUAGAUAUUAGGAAGAACACCAGUGGCGAAGGCGGCUCACUGGUCCGGUACUGACGCUGAGACGCGAAAGCGUGGGGAGCAAACAGG